UCAAGUUAUGAAGGGCGCAGGGUGGAUGCCAUGGCACUGGACGCCGAAGAAAGACGUGGUAAGCUGCGAAAAGCCACGGGGAGCCGCAAGCAGGCUUUGAUCCGUGGAUGUCUGAAUGGGGAAACCCGGCGGAAGUAAUGUUCCGUCAUCCGUGAAUGAAUCCAUAGUUCACGAGAAGGGCACCCGGGGAACUGAAACAUCUAAGUACCCGGAGGAAAAGAAAGAAACAUCGAUUUCGUGAGUAGCGGCGAGCGAAAGCGAAGGAGCCCAAACCAUCCGACUACGGUUGGAUGGGGUUGUGGGUCAGCAGAACGUACGAGGAAAUCUAGGAGAAGAGUUCUGGAAAGGACUUCCAAAGAGGGUAAGAGGCCCGUAUCCGAAAGGUUGAAUCGGCAAGCUGAUACCAGAGUACCACAGGACACGAGGAAUCCGGUGGGAAGCAGGAGGGACCACCCUCCAAGGCUAAAUACGAUCCAGUGACCGAUAGCGCAUAGUACCGUGAGGGAAAGGUGAAAAGAACCCCGGGAGGGGAGUGAAAAAGAACCUGAAACCCUGUGCUUACAAGCAGAGAGAGCACGAUUAAGUGUGAUCUCGUACUUUUUGUAGAACGGACCGGCGAGUUACGUUAUGCAGCGAGGUUAAGAACUGAAGGUUUGGAGCCGAAGCGAAAGCGAGUCUGAAAAGGGCGAAGAGUUGCAUGACGUAGACCCGAAACCGGGUGACCUAUCCAUGGGCAGGUUGAAGUGGAAGUAAAAUUUCAUGGAGGACCGAACCAGACGUCUGUUGAAAAAGGCGGGGAUGACCUGUGGAUAGCGGAGAAAUUCCAAUCGAACCCGGAGAUAGCUGGUUCUCCUCGAAAUAGCUUUAGGGCUAGCCUCGCAUUAGUUUACCGGAGGUAGAGCACUGAAUGGUCUAGGGGGCCUCACCGCCUACCGAAACCUAUCAAACUGCGAAUGCCGGAUAAAUGAUGUGCGGGAGUCAGGCCGCGAGAGAUAAGUUCCGCGGUCAAAAGGGGAACACCCCAGAUCGUCUGCUAAGGUCCCCAAGUACGCGUUAAGUGGGAAAGGAUGUUGGAUUGCACAGACAACCAGGAUGUUGGCUUAGAAGCAGCCACACAUUCAAAGAGUGCGUAAUAGCUCACUGGUCGAGUGAUCCAGCGCCGAAAAUGUAACGGGGCUAAAACGCGACACCGAAGCAGCGGGAUGCGUAAGCAUCGGUAGAGGAGCAUUGUGUGAGGAUAGAAGCCAGAGCGGGAGCACUGGUGGACUUCACAGAAGAGAGAAUGCCGGUAUGAGUAGCGAGACCCAUGCGAGAAACAUGGGCGUCGAAGGCCCAAGGUUUCCUGGGGAAGGUUCAUCCACCCAGGGUAAGUCGGGACCUAAGCCGAGGACUGAGGUCGUAGGCGAUGGACAGCAGGUAGAGAUUCCUGCACCACUUACACUUGUUUGACGAAGCAGUGACACAGAAGGAUAGGACGAGCGCGGUGAUGGUCAACCGCGUAGGCGGCACGAGGCUGGGGAGCAGUAAAGUACACUUCCCGUGAAGGCUGAGUGCUGACAGGACCGAAAAAGAGUAGGGAAGCGUCUGAGUUCACGCUGGCGAGAAAAGCUGCUAAGGAGAGUGUGAGUGCCCGUACCGGAAACCGACGCAGGUGGGCGAGGAGAGAAUCCUGAGACGGACGGGAGAACUCUUGUUAAGGAACUCGGCAAAAUGACCCCGUAACUUCGGGAGAAGGGGUGCCUCGAAAGAGGCCGCAGAGAAUAGUCACAAGCGACUGUUUAGCAAAAACACAGGUAUCUGCGAAAGCGAGAGCUGACGUAUAGGUGCUGACGCCUGCCCGGUGCUGGAAGGUUAAGGGGAAGUGUUAGGGGAAACCCGAAGCAGAGAACCGAAGCCCCAGUAAACGGCGGCCGUAACUAUAACGGUCCUAAGGUAGCGAAAUUCCUUGUCGGGUAAGUUCCG
rnacentral:rRNA from 1 species